GGCAGCUCCCUGGCCGUACGCUGCGGCAGAGCGGGCCCGGAGCGGGGAGCCUCCCUCCCGCGUUCCCCCCUCUCUUUUUCGGUGUUCCCUCGCCGGCAGGUUUCGCGCGGCGCGGCCUGGCAGCGUUGAGGACUCAAAGUAUCUGUGGGAUUUGUUAAGUCCUCGGUAAAGAUCUUCAGUGAGAUACCACAGGAGUCGGGAUAUCAGCAGCCUCCAAAGUCUGUAAAGGCUGGCAUGGGACAGAGCACCGUCUAGGAAGCUGUGUCGGGAGCGCUCACCUCUUGACACCGCUGCUAAUAGGUGGUUAUUACAGACCAUUCUGCUGAGAGCUGAGGUUUGGCUCUGACAGCUGCUCUGGCAAUAAAGCGUUUUACCUCAUCUAGAAAUCAUAAAUAUCACAAACCUUUAAAAUACUCCUCUGUAGUUCAUAUUUUAAAUUAAACAUUGUUGUAAGUUUAGUAAGUUAGUGUAUAAAAAAGAUAUGAUUACCUAAAACAGAAGCAUUACCUUGGUAAGAGAUUUAUUUUGAUAUGUGUGUCUAUAAAGGGCAAUUACAGGAUGGUUUUAAAAUAAGUCUGAAUGCAGAUGAACUGACAGUGGGCUUUGAAUAUUUUUGCACACUGAGCAACCUGUUAAUUUGCAUUAGAGGGGAAUCUGGUUCAUGAGAAAAAUUCUAAUUUUAUAACUGAUCACAGAUUGCUUUCAUUUCAUCUGUGUUGUUUUAUACCUUUCUAUAAAAUAUAUUCCUUUCUUUUGUUGCUUUUGUUUGUCAGUAUCAUUUUUUUUCCUUCUUUCCUAUAUUUCAAUAUAACUUAAUAUACUUUUGCCAUAAGGAAAAUUUUAGUGCAAAAUAAAAGAUAGCCCAAUCACUAAUUCUAAUAGCGGAGAUGAGUGAGCCAUGGAGAACGGUCCUCCUACUACCAAUUCAGUGCAAAAUUCCUGUUGACUUCAUGGAAGCAAUACUAGGUUUUAAAAUUCUCCAAAGUAAUAACAAAGGUAAAAACGAUUUUGUGAUGCAAGCAAGAUAUGAAAAAAGUCUGUCCUAGUUGUAAGUGAUCAGUUGGGGUAUUUUAUAUAAACUUCAUGGUGAAAUCAGACAAUUCCAAACUUGAGAGAUAAGCAAAACGUUCUUUAUUAUAACUUCAUUAUUAACUUGAGCAAACAGUUAAAUUUUCAGUAUUUUGCAUUGAAUAUGUAGCUUACUCUGUUGUAACAUGGAAACAUAUGUCAUUCAAUACCCUCUCAAGGAAAAUCUGUUCUUUCCAGUCCCAUUUUAGUAGGAUGACUUAUUAAUGAUACAUAGUACAAAAGAGUAUUGAAAUUAUAGUGUCUUCUUCAAGGCUGUCUCUGAAAUGAUGGCAGAUAUUCCUUAAAACUUGAAAUUUUCAUAUAUAUUGUGUAUAUUAUAAAGAGACUGACUUUUGCAUGGCCCUGAUCCUACAAGUGUUCUAGGCAUAAAACUGUUAGUUCUGCGUACAAGGUGCUUACUGGACAAAGCUGUUUAAUCUUCAGGUGAGAUGUGUGAUAGAAACUUUCAAGAUCAAACCUUUUACCUUGUCUCAUUUUCCUGUGUAUAAAAUAAGUCUCAUGUCUGGUUAUAAACCUAACUAGGUCAGGAAUAGAUUUUUUGAAAAUGUACAAAAUCAGCUAAAGAAUUACAAUCAUAGUUCUACAUCGUAGCUAUAGUAGUUCUACCAUAGCAGAACUACUCUAUAGUUUUUGGUAAUUCAACAGUAACAGUGCCACUAUCAUUAAAUACUGGGUAGUUCCUUACCAACAGAGAUGCCAGGUAACAAGACAGAUUACAAUCUCAGCAAAUUUUAGGAUAGACUCCAAUAAACUAUUUCCUACUCAUGUGAAUAAUUCUCUCACAUCUACUUUGUUUUCUGGAACUUUGAUCAUUCUUCUGUUUUGAAAUACAUAUGAAUUUUAUUUUUCUCUCCAUAUUAAUAAGGGUUUCAAUCAACAGUUUUCUAAAGAUUGCUUGAUUAUUUUUUUUUUCUUUCUUGCGGUCCCUUCUGAAGUCAUAGCUCUAUUUUUACCACGAGUAUGUUUUGCCAGUUUUAUAUCCACAAGUCUAACCUUCUGUGUUGGAAGAACUUCAUAGUCUGUCAUUCGUGUAAACAAUAGUCUAAUAGCUGGUCUGUUGAAAUUAUUUUUAGGGGAAAAUUGGGCUUUCUCCAAAAACUGCUGUUAGCAGGGUUGUUUCCUUAAUGAUAAAUAUAGUUAUUUGCUGAAUUUUCAGGUAAUACACUUUGUCUUUUUUUUUCUCUUUGGAUAGUUUAGUAUCUGUUUUGAUUCAGUUUCCACUAGGUAGUAAUUUAGCAUGUCAUUUUUCAUUUUAAGGGGUCAGGAGCACAUCUGUUGUGACAUUUGUCCCUACACAGAGAGUCAGUGAAGACCACUGAAUCCCUUACAUCAUAUUUUUGUGGUCUAAAAGUCUCAUUAAAUAUUAAGCCAUUUCUAUGGAUUUCAAUUUGAACCAAAUUCCAAGCAGUAGUGAAUGAAAAUGAAAAUUACUCUUUAUCCCUCACCCCCUUUUUUUUUUUUUAAUAGUCAAAGAAUUCAGGAGUAGAGGAACCCUGUUGGUUAUCACAUCCUUUCUUCAGCAAGAGUGGAUUCCCUUUUUUCUGGAUUGCUCUUUAUUGGUUAAUGGAAAUUCUGAAAAAACAUCUUCAUUAUUCAUCUUCAGUUUACUUGGUAGAAAGAAAUAAGCUUAAUCUUACUUUGAUCACAAGAUUAGAAGUAUGCUGGGAGUAUGAUGAGCAAAAGACUCUCUCUGAAGGCUGCUACAAAGCUGGUGUGGAUAUACUACAUUGGUUUCAGUCCAGUUUUGAACAGAGGCAUGGCCACUCAUGUUCAAUAAUUGGUUGAAUAAUGGGAACUCUUUUUUGGUUUCCUUACAGAACCCAUUAGCAAAAGUUUAGAUGCAGACUCCACCUCUGAGUUUGGAGUCUGCCUGAUUAAAAUAAUUUCUCCUCCCCUUCUGCUAACAAUCAGCAAUUGUUUAAAACUUCUGUAGUACUUCUUUAAUAAAGUCACUGGUAAUAACAGCAAAUUAAAAAAAAGUCAUGUAAAAUUCUCCCUGAAUUAUUGAAUUUACUGUUAGUUGGGGUUUCUUCUGUUAUAAGUGGAAAUUGCA